rnacentral:rRNA from 1 species
GACGAACGCUGGCGGCGUGCUUAACACAUGCAAGUCGAACGGAAAGGCCUUUUCGGAGGUACUCGAGUGGCGAACGGGUGAGUAACACGUGGGUGAUCUGCCCUGCACUCUGGGAUAAGCCUGGGAAACUGGGUCCAAUACCGGAUAGGACCGCACUUUAGUGUGUGUGGUGGAAAGUUUUUUCGGUGUAGGAUGAGCCCGCGGCCUAUCAGCUUGUUGGUGGGGUAAUGGCCUACCAAGGCGGCGACGGGUAGCCGGACUGAGAGGUUGGUCGGCCACAUUGGGACUGAGAUACGGCCCAGACUCCUACGGGAGGCAGCGGUGGGGAAUAUUGCACAAUGGGCGCAAGCCUGAUGCAGCGACGCCGCGUGGGGGAUGACGGCCUUCGGGUUGUAAACUCCUUUCGCCAGGGACGAAGCGUUUUGUGACGGUACCUGGAGAAGAAGCACCGGCUAACUACGUG